GGGGAAUUUUCCGCAAUGGGCGAAAGCCUGACGGAGCAAUACCACGUGAGGGAUGAAGGCCUAUGGGUUGUAAACCUCUUUUUUCAGGGAGGAAUCAAUGACGUGUACUUGAAGAAUAAGCAUCGGCUAACUCCGUGCCAGCAGCCGCGGUAAGACGGAGGAUGCAAGUGUUAUCCGGAAUCACUGGGCGUAAAGCGUCUGUAGGUGGUUUGAUAAGUCAACUGUUAAAUCUUGAGGCUUAACCUCAAAAUCGCAGUCGAAACUAUUAGACUAGAGUAUAGUAGGGGUAAAGGGAAUUUCCAGUGGAGCGGUGAAAUGCGUAGAUAUUGGAAGGAACACCGAUGGCGAAGGCACUUUACUGGGCUAUUACUAACACUCAGAGACGAAAGCUAGGGUAGCAAAUGGGAUUAGAUACCCCAGUAGUC
rnacentral:rRNA from 1 species